GUCUCUAUGGCUCAGUCGGUAGAGCGUUGGUCUCAUAUUAAACACAUAUGACUCUGGAAAACAUUCUAGGGACAUCCAAAGGUCGCAAGUUCGAGCCUUGCUAGGGACA
rnacentral:tRNA from 1 species